AGCCUAAAGAAAUUUAUUUUAGGUAAAUUCUGCCCAGCGCAAUAAUUUGUUAACGGCCGCAGUACCUUGACUGUGCUAAGGUAGCAUAAUCAAUUGGCUUUUAAUUGAAGUCUGGAAUGAAAGGUUUAAUAAAGAAUUUUCUGUCUUCUUUAAAUUUUAUUGAAUUUAUUUAGUAAGUGAAAAUACUUAAUUAAAGAAAAAAGACGAGAAGACCCUUAGAAUUUUUAAUAACAACUUUUUUAAAGUUUAUUUUUUUGUUGGGGCGACAUUUAAACAUUUAAACUUUAAAUAUUCUACUGGACAUUAAGUUUUGUAAGAUAAAAUUACCUUAGGGAUAACAGCAUAAUGAUUAUUAUAGUUUGUGACCUCGAUGUUGGACUAGGAACUAUUAGACUAACCGUCAAACUAGAUUGUUCUGUUCGAACAUUUAACUCCU
rnacentral:rRNA from 1 species